GGCUCCCUAUUUGUUUCUUCUCUUCCCUUCUCCACUAAUAUUCUACAGCCAGAAACUUUAGAGUGAAAUCACCGAUGGUGCUUAAGAGAUUAUUUUUUUGAAAGAGUAUAUUUAGUUUUUAUGGAAUCAGUUUUUCCAUAUUCCCUUCCUGGUUUGCUUUCCUUCUCCUGUUGAGGAAAAAAGUUUAGGAAAACAAAAAUGGAAAUCAACGAUUGAACCUCAUGGAGAAUGAUAGUGAUUGUUGUGUUCUUAUUAGGUAAAGAAGAAAUUGAGAAAAAAUUUCAAGACGAUCAAGUCACGUUUACUACUUGAACUAUUGGACGGACUGAGGCUGCAAUGUGCUGAAUUCAAAUCCUGGAUAGACAACUGUUUGUAUUAUCUUUCACUAUCCGCUUAUCGGAUAAAGCUGAAAUUUUAGUAAGAUGUUUAUAUACAUAUAUCCAACCUACUGUAAAAAUUUCAUGAAUUUAUGAUCACCUUAGGUACCCCAAAGUGUAAGCUCAACAUGGCUGUCUUUCGUGGAACAUUUAUUCAAGUAGUCAAGUCAUGACGUGUAUAUGUUCUUAUUGAACCAUUGAAUUACUGUAAUUCUGUAAUAUGUUGUGUUACCAUAAUCCAUAAGGUUACAUUAAAAUUUUGAUUA